AUGGGACACACACUCUAGCUCUCGCAGCCAAGUACCACUCAACACCCCUGAUUGUUUGUGCUCCCAUGUUCAAGCUCUCGCCUCAGUUCCCAAAUGAAGAGGAUACCUUCCAUAAAUUUGUCUCCCCACAUGAGGUUCUUCCUUUCACUGAAGGUGAAAUCCUCUCAAAGGUGAAUGUGCACUGUCCAGUGUU